rnacentral:lncRNA from 1 species
UUUUUUUUUUUUAAAGAGCUUUUGAGAUUUCUAAGAGGAAUGAUGUAAUCUACAGAACACAAUGAGUUCGUUGUCUCCUUAGCGGUGGGAUUUAAAGCUGUGAUCCUGGAUGGGUCCUGGAGGGUGAGGAGCCUUUGAGGGAAACUGUCUCCUUUGCAGGCUUAGGUGUCCACCCAGAAGUCCCUCAGCAAUCAAAGAAGGCUUCUUCAGAGAGGUAGGAGAGAGCCCAGAAUCAAGUGAUGUCAUGAAAUCCAAGAGAAAAGAUUGUGUAGAGGUGGAGGUGCUCAAUAGUGUUUGGUGCUGUCAGAGAGACAGUCAUGUUGACAGCUGAGGAUAGUCCACUGGACUGAACAAGGUGGGCUGACUAUGAGGAGAAUAGUUUUGUCACAGUGAAUGGAAGAACCUAGACUAGAGCAAGCUGAGGUACCAGUGGGAGUGAGGGAACUGGGUGGUGACCACAGAGCUGGCUUCUAGUUGAUUUGUGACAGGAGGGAGGAGAGAGAAUAAAGGGGACUGGGGAGGUGGUGAGGGUUUAAGAGGAUUUUGUUUAAAUGGGAGAACCACAAAGGUGUUUAAAAACUAGUGGCAAGGACCUGGUGGCAUGUGUGACAGAGAUGGGUGCCUGAGCAGCCACAGACAUCAGGAAUGCCAGCACCACAUCCUUGCAGCCCUCACGAAGAUCCUGCAGCUACAGCCAGUUUCUUGCAAACACCUGUGUGCCCAUCUAUCUUUACACCUCUCUAGGGGCUUCUUCUGGCACCUGGGGAGCUUAUUCUUCUAUGCUGUGCAGGUGCAAUCAGGAAGUGUGGGGAGACCAUGCCCCAAGGGCAACAGUGCAGGGGGAUGGGAUCAUGGUCAAGUAAUUCAGCCUCCCUAUCCUCAACUAGCAUGAUUCUAGCUGUGCCCAGACAGCCUCCCCAAAGGACCCCAUAAGACACUGAAACCCACUUGCCUGAAUGGCAAGUGACCACCACUGCUUAGUGACCCACUCUUGGCUGACUGAUCUCCCUUCCCUGCCCUACACUCACUUUCUCCCUGGGCUUCCAAGGAUCACCUAACAAAUAAGUGAGCGCACCUAACUUCCUGUCUCAUGAUCUGUCUUAGAGGGAACCCAUAUGGAAAAUUUAGGGCAAAUUCCCUAGGAAAACAAGAGGGGUUGGGACAUGACUGGUGAACAUAUGGGAGGCAAGACAGCAGAGGGGAGUUAUAGGUAACCUCCUAUGUUUGGAAUUAAGAUGGUGAGUCUUCUCUGAUGUCUACUAUGUUCUCUGUAACUUGAGUGGACCUGUCAUCUGCCAGAAGAUAAUGGGGAAGGUACAGAUCAAAAAUGGAAGGCACCUGUGUAGAGAAAACAGGAGGGUUUCCAGGAAUGUGGAGGAUCUGUUUGUGGCUGGUGAUCAUGAAUUUGUGACGAAUCACCCUGCCUGCCAUGUGACAUUCUCCAGCAGUACUUGGCUGCUCUGAGGCAGGUGAAGGGAAAGAGGGCAGCUGGGCUCAGCCAGAGGGGCCACAGAAGGGGAGGUUGCAGGAAGAGUCAUCAAAAGUGUGAGCCUCUGCUAGAUAAGGAGGGAGUGAAGGGAGGAGGAGCUGAUGGGUUAAGGUGUUAGACAGGAAAGUCUCCUUCAGCAGAGAGCCAGGAGGCUCCCCUGUGUCAACUCUCUGCUCUUGUAGCUCAAAAGCAGCCACAGACAACCCAUAUAUAGAUAAAACCAUAAAACUUUUUUUUACAAAAACAGUCAGCAUGCCAGGUAGGCUCAUGGCUACAGUUUGCCAAGGCCUGGAUUAGGAUAAAGAGGAGAACUGGCUUGGUGAGUUCAGAAGUGGUGCCAUCCAAUGAGGACCAGGUCAAGGUGGAGCCAGGAGGGGCUGAGGGGCUUGAGGGAGAGUACUGCUGACAGGGAUGUUGAAAUGCUGAGGGUAGGGGCUGUGGAUGUUGCUCUCACCUUGGACAGAGGCAAGAGAAAGCAUGAAUUCAGGUCACCAGGGUCUUGGAUGAGUGACAGGAGGGCCUGAAUGCUCAGCCAAGAAUGGCAGGGACAGCUGGCUGAGUACUUUGAGUGCCUCAAAGAAGCAGGGUGGUUACCAGGGAAGGGAGUCACUGUCUGGGAUUUUCCAGAGAGGAAGAGGAAUGGAUAUAUAGGGGAUGUGCUUGACACAGGGGAGAUGGCUGAGGGAUCUAUUGGAAGUCAGAACCGUAUGUUCUAUAGUUGGAGAUAAAUUUCCCUCUAGAACCCCAAAAAGCCGCUAAGUAUCGUGAAAGCAGCUACAUUCUCUCUCCAUUCUCAGAUUCAUCAGUGAGAAAUCCAUUUCUACUUUGCUUCUCGUUGGCCCUAGCGCCAUCUAUGGCUCACCAUUCUCUAGCAGGUAGAUCCCAAAUCUCUUAGCCCGACAUAAAAUCCACUACCACAUGUCCCAAACUACUCUUCUGGGUUGUUCACCAUUGUGCUUCAGCAAGCCAACGAUUCCCAUACCCACUCCACAAUGCUCACUUCUUCCCACAUGCCUUAGCAGAAAGACCCUUUCUCUGCACCUCCAACACCUGACCAUUCUUCCAGCACAAUGGUAUCUUUCUCCAAUGACCUUGGCAGAAGAUGGCCUUGGCCUCCUCUCUGUGCCUCCAGAACGGGACUGGGGAGAGUUUACAGCCCACACAGAAUGCAGUAUCCCUGACAUUUUCAAACUGUGUGUUAAUGUUGAGGUGUGUUGUGAAGGGGGCAGAAAAGCAGCCCAAGGGAGGGGCCGGCCUGAACUGUACUGGUGGCUCAGGCCAUCGGCACAGCUCCCAGCUAGACACACCACUGGCAAAGCAGAUGCCCUUCGCAAUGCACUCUGGUGACCUGCAACAACCCUUGGGUGUUCUCCAACCCCCAUGCUCACCAUCUCAGAAUCUUCCUCCCAUCUGGAAAAACCUUUCCUUAAAAGACCUUCUUGUAUUACUUUCUCCUCCCCUGUGUGCACUGUGAGCUGCAGCAGCUCUAGUAUGAGCAGUUCUGGGCACCUGACCAGCCGUCUGGCCUACCCCUGCCCAGCACCUUUCUUUGUUCCCCUGUGCUGCAGUUUGGGGCUGCUAGCCCUCCCCCAGGACACUGGGACCCCACUAGUCCACCUUUGUUCCUCCGCGGCCCCUGCACUGUAGCCAGCAGUCCGCAGGGGCUUCCUAACAAUGCCGAGUGGCCUGUGGCCCCAUGCUUUCUCCCUCUUGCUCCCACAGGCUGGACUGGCUAACUAGUUUGGAGGACCCAUGGAGCUGACCCUUCAUGGCUUUAGGGGUGCUCAGGCCAUGGAACCUGAGAGAUAUGGCAUGGGCCUCAAUGGCCUGUUCAGAAAAGCAGCUGCUUUAGGAUGACCCCACCUGGGCUCUAGAGAACAGAGCUCUUAGGAUAGAGAUCCUACAGGGACCCCAUCAGUGGCAUGACACUCGGACCCCCCUAGGGAUCAUGGGUUUGGUCUGGACAAGCAGCCCCACAGGGAAGCACAUGGGAAGCCCCAUGGCCAUCAGCUGCAUGAAAGUCUGCCAUCCAGCAGCCCCACCGCCCUCCCAGAGGCCUCCCCAAGGGGUUGGGCCUUCAAAGGCACAGGACCAAGGAAGCAGCAGCAGCUUCUCUGGAAGGCAGACCCUCCCACCAAUCCCCCCAGCACUCCUGGGGGCAGUGGAGAGCCAAGACUUUGGUGGGUGUGGAUGCAGCUCCAGGCGGGGUCCAGCUCCCUUCCCUGGAACUAGAACAAUCUGGAGGCACCCACAGGGGCCAGCUCCCCUCAUCAAUUCUGCAUCUUCCUGAAAAUGUACUUUUAAGCUGCUUAAUUGCAUUUUAGAGAUAACCCUGCAAGCAAAGUGGCAGGAAGAGAAACCAUAGAGAGAGCUUGGUGGUCAGACUCUUGGUUUUAAAUCAAUCAAACAUCUGCGACUAAUGCAGCUUUGGGCUGCUCCUCAGGAAGCAUUAGCCCUAUUAGUGGGGGCUGGCAGGAACACAAACUAAGAUAUUUAUGGGCUGGGCACGUGUGCAUUACCACGGGGACCAAAGGGCUGGGGCAGAGAAUGGCACAGAUCAGCAUGUCUGCUCACCUCACCUUGCCUUGCCGAGGGCGUCUGCACCAAGCAGAGGGACUGUGCCACUCACACCCUGGCACAGUCACACGCAGUGGAGGGGACCCUGCUUUCCCGUCCCAGCCCUGACCAUCGCCGGCAGCCUAGAGCAAGCCUCCUCAUCUCGCUGGGCUCUGGGUCUCAGUUGUAAAACAGUGAAUCUGGGCAGACGUCCUCUGAAACCUCUUCUCGGGUCAGGACUGGGGUAUUCUCAGGACCAGGGUGAGGAGCCAGGAUGGGAUAAAGACAAGACAGCCGAACGUGACACACACGGUACCAAUGGGACAAAGUAGCUGGUGAGAAGGUGUUAAAGACAGGACACCCAAUCCAUGAUUUUAGGUCAUUUAAGAGCAGUGCUGACAAAACCCUUCACAAUCCACAAAUGGUUAAUAAAGGUGCUGGUCUAUAAGCAACUGCCUUCUGCUCCUGGUUGCUUUGGGAUUGGAUCUAGAAGGAGAUGUGCU